rnacentral:lncRNA from 1 species
CCUGGGUCACCAAGUAAGACAGAAUUUGCCCUUGGGGUACAGAAAGAGUGGGCACCCAAGGCAGGAUGCCCCAGGCACCAUGAGGAUAUCCAGACAGGGGGGUCAGUAGCCUGGGACUCAAUUAGAGGGAGGCGCUGGAACCAAGACGCCAUCCCAGGUUCAGACCCUGAGAGGGUUAACCCUUGCCCACCCCCACCAAGCCUGACUCUUUUCUCACCAGAGUGGACACAACUUGAAAACCAACUGGACUGAGCAUCCUUCUCCUAAAAUCUCAGCCAGAAGCCAGGAUGGAGGGUCCUGGGAAGGGAAGAGAUGAGAUUUCUGUGAUUUUUUUUUUUUUUUUUUUUUUUUUUUUGAGACAGAGUCUCGCUCUGUCGCCCAGGCUGGAGUGCAGUGGCUGGAUCUCAGCUCACUGCAAGCUCCGCCUCCCGGGUUUAUGCCAUUCUCCUGCCUGAGCCUCCCGAGUAGCUGGGACUACAGGCGCCCGCCACCUCGCCUGGCUAGUUUUUUUGUAUUUUUUAGUAGAGACGGGGUUUCACCGUGUUAGCCAGGAUGGUCUCGAUCUCCUGACCUCGUGAUCCUCCCGUCUCGGCCUCCCAAAGUGCUGGGAUUACAGAUUUCUGUGAUUCUAAAACCUUGGGUCUGCCUGCAAACUUCUCUCUGACCCCGGCCGAGAGCUGUGCACAUGCUAGCUAGCCCUGUCAGACAAUAGCCUAGUGUUCCCGUCACAGUGCCUGGGAAUGAGAGGCUUCUGAGGCCACAGAAUGAUGACAAGUCCCCGGGUUGAAUUUACUCUGGGGGGACAAAAUUCUGAGAGAUUCACAGGUCCUUAUCCAGGACAACCUCACAAAGAGCCCUGAAGCUUAGCUUCCUCUGCUUCGUGCGUAGUUUGAGGCAUAAACUUUCCUUGUAUGUCGGUCAGAUGAAGCGAAGGAUGAAUAUUAUCCCAGGCUAAAGUAAUGAAAAGUCCAGAAGCCAGCGAUGACAGAGAUGUGUGUGGAAGAAGGCUGUGAGCAUUUCCAUCAAACCCUGUGGAUUUCCGAAGAUCUUAUCCCGAAGAUAUGUGUUUGGCCAAUAAAACAGCGGUGCAGCAAGCCCUGCCCACUUCCUGCUCACGUGCCUAGUCUGCAACGACCAUUUACUUCAGGAUAUGAAGUCAACAGCAGAGCCCAAACAAUAGUGAAGUGGCUCCCAGAGCCAAGCUCGCCGGCCUGCUUACCCGCUCAGAAUUGCCCCAUCUUCAACACGAACAAGUGCUUCUGGAACAAAUACCAGCCAAUUGCACACAGUCCAGGGCUUUGA